UACGGAGGGUGCAAGCGUUAUCCGGAUUCACUGGGUUUAAAGGGUGCGUAGGCGGGUUGGUAAGUCCGUGGUGAAAUCUCCGAGCUUAACUCGGAAACUGCCGUGGAUACUAUCAAUCUUGAAUAUCGUGGAGGUAAGCGGAAUAUGUCAUGUAGCGGUGAAAUGCUUAGAUAUGACAUAGAACACCAAUUGCGUAGGCAGCUUACUACACGAUCAUUGACGCUGAGGCACGAAAGCGUGGGGAGCAAACGGG
rnacentral:rRNA from 1 species